AGUGAACGCUGGCGGCAUGGUUAAGACAUGCAAGUCGAACGAAAAGCAAAUCUUCGGAUUUGUGGAAAGUGGCGAACGGGUGCGUAACACGUGAGCAACCUGCCCUAAAGUGCGGAACAGCCUGUCGAAAGAUGGAUUAAUGCCGCAUGUGGCUCUUCUUCGCAUGAAGAAGUAGCUAAAGCUUGUAAUGGCGCUUUAGGAUGGGCUCGCGGCCUACCAGCUUGUUGGUAAGGUAACGGCUUACCAAGGCUAAGACGGGUAGCUGGUCUGAGAGGAUGAUCAGCCACACCGGGACUGAGACACGGCCCGGACACCUACGGGUGGCAGCAGUUUCGAAUCAUUCACAAUGGGCGAAAGCCUGAUGAUGCAAUGCCGCGUGGAGGAUGAAGGCCUUAGGGUCGUAAACUCCUGUCAUUGGGGAGCAACAAAUAGGUUCAUAGCCUAUCAUGAGUUAACCCAAAGAGGAAGAGGUGGCUAACUCCGUGCCAGCAGCCGCGGUAAUACGGAGACCUCGAGCGUUACUCGGAUUCACUGGGCGUAAAGGGUGAGUAGGUGGCCAAGUAUGUCAGGUGUGAAAUCCCGGGGCUUAACCCCGGAACUGCGCCUGAAACUACUUGGCUAGAGUCUCGGAGAGGAUAGUGGAAUUCCAAGUGUAGCGGUGAAAUGCGUAGAUAUUUGGAGGAACACCAGUGGCGAAGGCGACUAUCUGGACGAGUACUGACGCUCAAUCACGAAAGCGUGGGUAGCGAAAGGGAUUAGAUACCCCUGUAGUCCACGCCGUAAACGUUGCACACUAAGUUUCGGAGGAUUCGACCCCUUCGGAGCUCAAGCUAACGCGUUAAGUGUGCCGCCUGGGGAGUACGGCCGCAAGGCUA
rnacentral:rRNA from 1 species